rnacentral:rRNA from 2 species
UUGCUACCUGGUUGAUCCUG